rnacentral:rRNA from 1 species
UACGUAGGGGGCAAGCGUUGUCCGGAAUCAUUGGGCGUAAAGAGCGCGUAGGCGGUCCGGUAAGUCGGUUGUGAAAACUGGGGGCUCAACCCUCAGAGGCCGACCGAUACUGCCGGGCUAGAGUCCGGAAGAGGCGAGUGGAAUUCCUGGUGUAGCGGUGAAAUGCGCAGAUAUCAGGAGGAACACCAAUGGCGAAGGCAGCUCGCUGGGACGUUACUGACACUAAGGCGCGAAAGCGUGGGGAGCGAACAGG